rnacentral:ribozyme from 1 species
GCUCGUUACAGCGAGUAUAAACCGCAUUAAGCUGUAAGCGUUCAGGGUUCACGCCCUGAGGUUGUA